AGAAUCAACGCUGGCGGCGUGCCUAACACAUGCAAGUCGAACGAGAAAGGGUAGCAAUACCUGAGUAAAGUGGCGCACGGGUGAGUAACACGUGACUAACCUACCCUGGAGUGGGGGAUAACUGAGGGGAAACCUUAGCUAAUACCGCAUAACACCUACGGGUCAAAGGAGCAAUUCGCUUCAGGAGGGGGUCGCGGCCGAUUAGUUAGUUGGCGGGGUAAUGGCCCACCAAGACAGUGAUCGGUAU
rnacentral:rRNA from 1 species